rnacentral:rRNA from 1 species
AGAGUUUGAUCCUGGCUCAGGACGAACGCUGGCGGCGUGCUUAACACAUGCAAGUCGAGCGGUAAGGCCCUUCGGGGUACACGAGCGGCGAACGGGUGAGUAACACGUGGGUGAUCUGCCUCGCACUCUGGGAUAAGCCUGGGAAACUGGGUCUAAUACCGGAUAUGACCAGGGAGUGCAUGCUCCUUGGUGGAAAGGUU